AGACAAAGAAGUGGCGAGUGCAAGGACGGUUGUAUCCCAGUACGUCCUCGAGUGCUGACAGCGGUCUCCAUAGUACCAAUAGUCUUCUCCCACGGCACAUCUGGAAAGGGAGGGAAAAUAUGAUGAACAGGAGAAAGUAAAUUCCGAGCUGGAAGAGUGCUACAGGAGAACCACAGAUGACCAGAAGCUGGCACUGAGCUCACCGACCACAAGCUCCAAACAAGUGAGCAGGAAGAUGGCGUCUCCUCCCUUAAUGAAAUCUCUGCUUUUGGCUCUGAGGUGGGUGAGAUACACAGCGGUACCGUAGCCUGGCCCUCGGAAAUACUUUGAUCCAUCUGUGUCCGUGACCUCACCUCCAACCUUGCGAGGAUCAUCCCAGAAAAACUGGUCAGAGCCUGUUUAAAAGAAUGUGGGGGAAAAAAAGUGUCUGAAUACAGUAUUGCAGCAAAAACAGUCACUUCAUGAUAUCUUUCUAAGUCGUGAACAAUUGUUUUGAGUCUUUUUGACAGUGAAAGUAGCAGCACCUGAUG